rnacentral:lncRNA from 1 species
CACACCAAUUCAUGUCUUCAUACAUGUUCUUUGGAUAAUGAUGUCUAUCACAUUCCACCAUCAUUGCCAACCCCCUGCCCCCUCCCUUCUGACAUUGACAGUUAAAAUGACUCAUUCAAUCCUCUACAAUAGUUGAUGGAACCAAGAUUUGAAGCCCAUGGUUCUCUUAAUCACUACCCUAAAGUAAAGGCUUAGAUAAUGCAUGUCACAUGUAGAAAAGGUCUCAUAUGAUGUCUAGGCACUCAAAUAUAGAAGAAUCCUUCCCUAUUACAGAGUUGCUGAGAAGACAGAACUACUGGGAUUUAGAACAUGGAAAGCAUGUGAAGUGAACCUGAUGACUUCCAUUUGGGCAUGUUGAAUGUAUGGUAUCUGUGGAGAGAUCCAAAAGCAGCUGCCAAUCGGAAUCUGGAGCACCAAGAGACAAUAUCUGAAGAUAUUAGCUUAAGCAACCAUAAAGUUACUGAUGAAAAUUUGGUAGUCCAAGUCAUCAAAUGAACACUCUGUACCCAUUUGUUAGAAGAAUAGAUAAAUGAAUGAAAACAGUUUAACACAAGAAAAAAUGAGUUUUGUAACAGGAACUUUUUAAAAAAUCCUACUAAGUUCCCUAAUUGUGCUUUUAUGAAACAAUUUCUGUCAUAUCAAGAAAAUUCAAUGGUUGUAAAGACCACUGGAUGAAAGAAUGUUGGUGGAAAAGAUAUACUCACGUAUAGAACCCCCAUAGAUUAUUUGCUAAUUACAAAUUAGAAAAGAUAAUUAACUUAAUCAAGUGAUCCACCUGAAGAUCACCCAUAAUGAAACAUUAUGAUAUCAUGUACCUCCAGAUGCACUGCACUGAGGAAGACAUACUGUCCCUAUAGUAUCAUUGCCAAUAUUAUUUAAACUGAUAAAGAAGAAAUAAUCUGACACAUCUGUGGUCUGCAUUACUAUAGGCCUGGAACUACAUUUCCUCAAACCUGUUAAAAUCAUAAAAUAUUAUAAGAGAAAAAGGCUGGAAAAUGACUCUAAAGAGGAGUCAGGAAGAGUGAUGAUUCAAAGUGUGAUCCUUGACUGUGCAUAUCUGUGAAUCUUGUGAAAAUCUGAGAAUGAACUGUAUGUGAUAAUAGCACUGAUUUAAUGCUAAUCCUGAGUCUGGACAUUGUAUUACAUAGAGAAAUAUCUUUAUUUUUAGAUGAUACUUAAGUAUUCAGGAUUUAAGUAACUCACAAGUGAUUCAGUAAAAAAUGUGUGUGUGUGUAUAUGUGUGUGUGUGUUCGUGUUGGCAGCAAAAGAAAAAAAAGAAUAAAAGAACAGAAAAAAUGUUUACAAAUGAUAAAUGUAGGUAAAUAAUAUAUGUGUAUGUGUAUGUUCAUGGUACUAUUCUUAAAAAUUCUUUGUAAGUGUGAAUUUUUUUCAAAAUAAAGAGUUGGAAGUAAAAAUUAUAAAAUCAGCUAUUAAUAUGCUAUAAAUACCACAGGUAAGCAAACUGAAAUGUAGGAAGAGCAAGUGACUUCCUUCGUGGUUAUUCUUCAUCUCCUUUCCUCAGACCCUUGCUUCUGGUUGACAGGUCCCUGUGAACCUCUUCAGGGUUCCCCAGUAGGUUAGUUUCUGGGAGGGCUUAGUGGAUAGGAGGCACAGCCAAAGAUCCAAAAGCCCAAGGAUGGAGUCAGGGUAUUUUUAUUCUAUUCCCCCUAAUAUUCAGGGCCUUGGAUUCUGGUAGUAACAGUGCCUCUUCACAAGUACAGCUCCUAUAAAGUGCUCACCCCCAUACUCUUUCUAUGAUGCCAGUUCUCACUGAAGUCUGGUACCACUCUUUCCUCCCCUGGUCCUUCAAUUCCAGCUGUAUUAUCAGCAUUCACUGUUGAUAGUGUCCAGGUGCAUUACCAUCCUCACCUUCCUUAAUAUCUCUCAAAGAAGUACUCUCAUUGAGUCACUUAUUUGAACCCCCUUUUUCCUGAUGAAAUUUUAUUGAUCCAUUCUUAUAAUUGGCAAGUGACAAAAAU